rnacentral:misc_RNA from 1 species
CCUUGCGCAGGGGCCAUGCUAAUC